GUAGGGCCAAGAGUAGAGUUAAGAGGAGGGCUAAGAGGAGGGCCAAGAAUAGAACUAAGAGUAGAAUGAAGAGUAGGGCCAAGAGUAGGGCCGGGUGUAGAACUAAGAGUAGAGCUGAGAGUGGAAUGAAGAGUAGGGCUAAGAGUAGAGCCAGAAGUAGGGCCAGGAGUGGAACUAAGAGCAGAGCUAAGAGUAGGAGUAAGAGUAGAGCUGAGAGUAGAGCUAAGAGUAGAGCUAAGGGUAGAGCUAAGAGUAGGAGUAGAGCCGAGAGUAAAGAGUAGAGCUUAGGGCAGAGCUAAGAGUAGAAGUAGUAGUAGAGCCGAGAGUAGAUCCAAGAGUAGAGCUAAGGGUAGAGCUAAGAGCAGAGCCAAGAGUGGAACUAAGAGUAGGGCUGAGCAGAGCUAAGAGAAGAGCCAAGAAUAGGGCCAAGAGUAGGGCCAGGAGUGGAACUAAGAGUAGAGCUAAGAAUAGAGCUAAGGGAAGAGCCAGGAGUAGGGCUAAGAGUAGAGCCAAGAGGAGGGCCAAGAGUAGGGCCAGGAGUGGAACUAAGAGUAGAGCUAAGGAUAGAGCUAAGGGAAGAGCCAGGAGUAGGGCUAAGAGUAGAGCCAAGAGGAGGGCCAAGAGUAGAGCUAAGAGUAGAGUGAAGAGUAGAGUUAAGAGGAGGGCCAAGAAUGGAACGAAGAGUAGAACAAGGAGUAGGGCCAAGAGUAGGGCCAGGUGUAGAAGUAAGAGUAGAGCUGGGAGUAGAAUGAAGAGUAGGGCCAAGAGUAGGGCCGGGUGUAGAAGUAAGAGUAGAGCUGAGAGUGGAAUGAAGAGUAGGGCUAAGAGUAGAGUCAAGAGGAGGGCUAAGAGGCGGGCCAAGAAUAGAACUAAGAGUAGAAUGAAGAGUAGGGCCAAGAGUAGAGCCAGAAGUAGGGCCAGGAGUGGAACUAAGAGCAGAGCUAAGAGUAGGAGUAAGAGUAGGGCCGAGAGUAGAGGCAAGAGUAGAGCUAAGGGUAGAGCUAAGAGUAGAGCCAAGAGUUGGGCUAGGAGUAGAGUUAAGAGGAGGGCUAAGAGGAGGGCCAAGAAUAGAACUAAGAGUAGAAUGAAGAGUAGGGCCAAGAGUAGGGCCGGGAGUGGAACUAAGAGCAGAGCUAAGAGUAGGAGUAAGAGUAGGGCCGAGAGUAGAGCCAAGAGUAGAGCUAAGGGUAGAGCUAAGAGUAGAGCCAAGAGUUGGGCUAGGAGUAGAGUUAAGAGGAGGGCUAAGAGGAGGGCCAAGAAUAGAACUAAGAGUAGAAUGAAGAGUAGGGCCAAGAGUCGGGCCAGGAGUGAAACUAAGAGUAGAGCUGAGAGUAGAAGUAGGAGUAGAGC